CUAAUCUCUAAAUAUACCUAUUACAGCAUCUGUUUACAGGGUACCAUUUUUUGAAAGAGGACAACAUACCAUAACAUUACACGCCAUAUAACAUUAUAAUGUGUAAUAAACAACAUAACUAUUGACAAUGAAUAUAAACAUGAUAAUUACUUUCAAACAUGAGAUUAAAUGUACCUGUUUCAUUCUGAACACAGCUACUUCCCCAAUUAUAAAAGACUGUUCACACUUUUUUUUUUCUUUCAUAUUUUCCCUAAAAUAUUCAGUUGGUUUUUUUUUAGUUCAAAUUUAUACAUUAUAUUUUCGCAUUGUGGAUGGAAAAAGUCCUGAUAUGGUUUAUCUUUGUGUACGCACUGGUGUACAAACUUCCAUAGUAUCUACUCUAUAGUAGUAUAGUAGUCAUCACGUUUCCACGGAUACUGAUGUUAUGCAAAUUUUACUAUAUUGUAUAUACUCAUACUCCCCCACCCCACCCCCCCCCACCCCCAGUCUCACCAUCUCAGUCAAGCUCAUCAGGGAUCACAGCGAGUUCCAGCUCCAGUUCUGGUCCGGGUUUAGUAAGCAAAGUGCAUGUGAAAAUGUUCUGUGGAAAAAAACAAUUUGCAAUUUACAGGAAAAAUGGAGAAUUCCAUAAUUCAUUCAGAGACGAUGUUAGAAAUGCAAUGAAGGAAAUACCAGAAUAUCAUGUUUUGGACUACAACUGUAUCCAUUUUGCCAUGGGACUACUAAAGGUUGACUUACAGACUACAGAGAACUUCAUUAAAAAACUUUUAAAAAUUAUUAGUUACGGAAGCACAAACCAGGAGAUGCAACCCUUUGCGAUAUAAAGUGUGCUGGAAAAAACACAUUGUGAUUCUUUUUGAAGAAAGUAGAAAUAUGGUGUCAAAUUUUGGUCUUGCUCUUUUGUAUUGGAAUGUCAUGAAAUGAAAGUUUGAUGUCAUGGAAUAUUAUGAUUAAUUUGGGGUUUAAUUACUUGCCUACUAGAUUACUUAUCAUUUAUAUACCAACCCCAUUUCCAGAAAAGUUGAAACACUUUCUAAAAACGCAAUAAAAACU